GGAGAGGUAGCGAAGUGGUCGGAACGCGGCGCACUCGAAAUGCGUUUGUCCGUAAGGGCACGUGGGUUCGAAUCCCACCCUCUCCGCCA
rnacentral:tRNA from 1 species